CCCUUAGAUGUCCUGGGCUGCACGCGCGCUACACUGAUGUGUCCAGUAAGCACCUAACCUCUUCCGAAAGGAACGGGUAACCUUUGCAAAGCACAUCGUGAUGGGGAUAGAUUAUUGCAAUUAUUAGUCUUGAACGAGGAAUGCCUAGUAAGCGUGAGUCAUCAGCUCACGUUGAUUACGUCCCUGCUCUUUGUACACACCGCCCGUCGCUCCUACCGAUUGAAUGUGCCAGUGAAAAGUUAGGAUUGGGCGUGGGAGACGGCAACGUAUUCCACAUCCGAGAAAAUCUUUAAACUUUCCCAUUUAGAGGAAGGAGAAGUCGUAACA
rnacentral:rRNA from 1 species